CGCAACAGGAAUCCGUGAACCGUGUCAGGGCAGGAAUGCAGCAGCACUAAGCGGAACCUUCUGUGUGCCGUGAGGGUGCCUG
rnacentral:SRP_RNA from 1 species